AUUGAACGCUGGCGGCAGGCCUAACACAUGCAAGUCGAACGGUAACAGGAAGCAGCUUGCUGCUUCGCUGACGAGUGGCGGACGGGUGAGUAAUGUCUGGGAAACUGCCUGAUGGAGGGGGAUAACUACUGGAAACGGUAGCUAAUACCGCAUAACGUCGCAAGACCAAAGAGGGGGACCUUAGGGCCUCUUGCCAUCGGAUGUGCCCAGAUGGGAUUAGCUGGUAGGUGGGGUAACGGCUCACCUAGGCGACGAUCCCUAGCUGGUCUGAGAGGAUGACCAGCCACACUGGAACUGAGGCACGGUCCAGACUCCUACGGGAGGCAGCAGUGGGGAAUAUUGCACAAUGGGCGCAAGCCUGAUGCAGCCAUGCCGCGUGUAUGAAGAAGGCCUUCGGGUUGUAAAGUACUUUCAGCGGGGAGGAAGGGAGUAAAGUUAAUACCUUUGCUCAUUGACGUUACCCGCAGAAGAAGCACCGGCUAACUCCGUG
rnacentral:rRNA from 1 species